ACCGGGAUGGACGUACCGCUGGUGCACCAGUUGUUCCGCCAGGAGCAUGGCUGGGUAGCUACGUACGGACGGGAUAAGCGCUGAAAGCAUCUAAGCGUGAAGCCCCCCUCAAGAUGAGAUUUCCCAGCAUGUAAGACCCCUUGAAGACGACGAGGUAGAUAGGUUGGAGGUGGAAGCGCGGCAACGUGUGGAGCUGACCAAUACUAAUCGGUCGAGGGCUUAUCCAAAA
rnacentral:rRNA from 1 species